GCUCUAGUCUACUACAUCAAGAAAUACCGAAGUCUCGAGACAUUUUUAACGAAAAGAAAAGUGGCAACGCGUAGCAAGAAGAACAGCGAGCGCCAUGGGUCGUCAGAAACCUUUGGCGACAUCGACCCGCCGAUUCCUAUCUCAAUCGACGUCGGUUAUCUCGACAGAGGCACAAGUGUAAUUAGCCUCGGCUUGUACGCCGAUUGUAAAAAUACAGCUACCGCCGGGACGCGUAUUUAUACAAUACUAAUUUACUAAACCCAAUUAGUUAAUUGAGGAUGGUGUGGCCGUAUCAGUAAGAGGAGGAGGAGGAGGAGGGAAAGAGGGAUACGUCCGAUCGUCUCCAAGCAAAUGUACACCGCCGAUUACGUUCCAAUACGAACGCGUAAUGGUCCCCCGAAGUGUCCCCUCCGAGCAGCCGCAUUUUUGCAUUAACGAGCGAACGCUCGGCUCGCGAGCGUAACGAUAACAUUAACCGCGGUAAUUGACGCGAUUAUCGACGGACGUUACCAUUUUCAUUAGUUUCUUCUUGGGUAGCAGUCUCGACUCGGAGCAUUAACGUGACGACGUUUAUCGCGUUUCGAACGUCCCCGAACGUAGCUCGCUGGUAAGAAACGUUGAGUGAAUUUCGUUGCCGGACGCUUCCACUCUUUUCACGGUCCUUGGAUAGCGGCGAGCUGCUUUCUUGCGGAACCACGAAUAUCGCCGGCUCGCGCAAACCCGCUGUUUUGCUCUUUAGGAAUCAUUAGCCUCGGCUUUCGCGGCUAAUUCAAAUUGCGAUUCCCCGCCGGUCUCGUGCUCCCGCUCAUCAAAAUGCCGGACACAUAGCGAGCCGCACCGAGGAACCGGCAAAAACCGCGAAUUAACUUUUACUGGACGGGGAGGAAGAAAAAAAGGCCACGUCGUUUUGCGCGCUGCGUGCCGCCUCUGUGAACCAGCCGGUCCCUGGAGGACGCUCUUUUUCACUAUUUCUGCCAACGCGGCCACGGAAUGCCCCGUUGCGAUCGUAUUAACGACGAAACGCGUUGGGCCAAUUUUAAAUGUUGAAUUAGUCCAGGAGGGGUUGCGGUUUAGGGGUUGGCUGCGUGUGGAUCGUGUGGAGGGUGGUUCGAGUGACGUGAUGGUAUCAUUUGAGCGGGAGAAGUACACUGAUAUAGUGUGAGAAUUUAUGGCAACGUGAGAUUUCAAGAUUCUCAGAGUUCCUUUACAAAAACUAAAAUAAAUCUUGAGAAAUUGAUGAUCAAGAAUCACACCACGUGAUCAAGAACUUCCUCGAGAGGACUGAAAAUAGUUAAAUCAGCUUCACAAGGUGUCGCCACAAAGUUUGUUUGUUUGUUUAUUAAAUUAAAGUGCGUACAUUCGUAGAAGUACUUCGCACUACAAUGUGCUGCUCUCUUUUUACAUUGUCUCUUCUAAACGUUUUACAUAAAUACUUAAUCUCUAUUCUUACUGGCUGAUUUUAUAAUUAUUAUCCUUCUUAUAACUAACCGCAAUAAGGAAAACAAACACAAUCAAAUUUUUAAUUUGUAAGUCGAGGUUGCCAUAUUCUUUAUGCCACAAAGUUGCAGCAGUGUUUCCUCAUGGUAAAUGAAGCAUGGGUCAUGAAGCUUUUCCUGAGAUUCAUGAGAAGGCGCCACGUGAUUGUAUGGAGUAGAGUGGUCGUUUUGUGAGAUUCCCCCUCCAUUUAUGACCAUUGUACACCAUCCCCCACCAGCGACCAUUGCUACCCACGCGUGGCACGCUCUCCACACGUGGAUCGCGCGUUUCCCUCGUCGCUAGAGCGUCGGAUGUUCUCGGCUUUCCCCGUGAACCUAUGCCUACCACGUGUUCCAGUCAUGUAACACCACUCUCAACUCUCGCACGCUCGUCCCAUGCGAUACAAUCCAAUGACAAGGGUGAGGAAUCGUCUAACUAUGAAUGUCAUAACAUCGUGAACUCACCAUUAUUUUGCAACGAUAUUCCACAGGACUUGACCCACUCAAAAAACUCAGAAAUCGUAUUCCUAGAUGCUCAUCUUCCUCGAAUCAGCUGGAAUUCUUCUAGCUCCGAGACACUUCGAAACUGCAAACUAAAUCACCAUUAAAUUGCUUUUAAUCGUUGAAAAAAGACGUGAAAAAUCGCAUACGAAACACAGGACACCGCACAGCAAAACAAAAAGAAGGAUCUAGGAGCCUAAGAACCCAUUUGCCAGCUCGUAACGCGAACAGUCAACGGGCCAAGUGCGCGGGAGGGGAGCUGGAGGGUUAUUCGCCGACCGCCGUGUAGUGGUCGCAGUCCAUAAAACGCUACAGCCAAUGUAAUUACCAUGACCGCCACGGUUUUGGAGCAUCGGGACUAUAUCGCCCCGUAAUUGCCUCGGAAUUACGAAAAAAUAACAGUUUUUGGAGUUAGAUCGUAAAAUUGAGCUAACGAGGAGCGCGGCGAGCUUGGCGUUCACCGCACGCUAUAAAAAUGGGAGGCACGAGUGUGGCUAAACGCGACGGAUAUUCAUUGGGGGCACAGGUUAUUACGUGUUUAAUUUUCGACCGCACACGUGGUUCCACGCUAUGUUUCGGAGCAACGAGAACGUAAACAACGAAUGAUCAGGUAUGCCUUCAUUGGAAGGAACACGAAGUCCUUUAAUAGAUAUUUGCAUUGUAUCAAGACAUUAAUAUAUGUAAUAGUACUGAUUAUUAAAUGCAACUGCGACAUUGAUCAAUGUAAAUGUAAAUAAUACUGUAUCUGUAACAAAAAAAAAAUAUGCUGAGCCAUUGCACAGUUUUGGUACACAUUUCUACACCUGAUGGCUCCUGACAAUCCCUGACAACCCCUGAAAGCUCUCAAUGAUCCUUGACGACCCCUUGGCAAUACCUGAUAGUCACUAAUGAACCCCUUACUAUUAUUUUAAUGUACUUCAUAAAUAAUACUACCUAUUUAUAUAAAAAUAUGAACAGAGACAGAGAAAGGAUCAGCGACACACUUGUAAACUGUAAAACUCUAAUUGCAACCUUGUUGAAUAUUAAAAUUUCUCGGUUUACGUCUCUUCGCCUUCGAGAUGGCAACCGAAUAGACAAACUUGCUAGCAUAGGUUGCCGUGUGAAAGGGGCAGCUCUGCGUCUACACGAUGAUAACCGAACCGACAAGCAGGCUAGUAGUACCGGUUACCGCAUGAAAGGGGCAGCACUGCGUCUACGAGCUGACAACCAGCCCGACAAACCAGAUAGCAUAGGUUGCCGCAUAACAGGGGUACCUCUGCGCCUACGAGAUGGCCACCGCCCCGACAAGCUGACUAGUAUACAUAGGUUGCCGCAUAACAGGGGCAGCUUUGCGCUUACGAAAUGACAACCGAACCGACAAACGGGUUAGUUAUCAGUUGCUCUAUACCAGAGGCACCUCUGCACCAACGAUAUUACAACCGGGCCUACAAACUGGCUAACUUCGGUUGAUAUUUAACAGGGGUAUACUUGCGCCUACUUGAUAACAACUAAUACUUUGUACACUUAUCGUUCAGGUCGCGGUAGUCAUCGGUGAAAAACACUAACGUUUCGUUCAUCUUUGGACACCUUCUAAUACCUUUUAACAACUGCUGAAAUCUCCUAACGUCCCCCAAAAGCUUCUAAUAUCUCCUAACAACCUUUAACAACUCCUAAUACCUUCUAACACCAUCUAACAAUUCCUAUAACCAUUUAACAUCUCCUAAUAAUUCCUGACAUAUCCUGGCAUCUCCUAAAGCUCUUGAAGAAUGACAUAAUGAAUGACGGUGAAAAUUUUCCCUUUAAUUUCCCUCCAUUUCUUUGUAUAUUUCCUGGUAUA